ACGCGUACGCCAAUGUACGAGAAAUGGCGUACAUGAAGCUCGAGCGGUGAAACUUCAAGUUUGACGGCAAGGACGCGAUGAAUUCGGACGAGGACUUCGUAUUCCGCCUGGAGUUCCUGCAGAGGCAGUCUCAAUGCCCGUGGAAGGAGGUCCUUCCUAGUCGCCGCAAAAGAAACACGCAAGGAGGCAAUUAAGAGGCAAUCGUUGCGACGAUUUAGGAACAAUGUGCGCACACAAAUACUUAAAGCUGAGUAUGUUACGAUAAUCAGUCGUGCAACAGGUAGGUGAUAUAGAUCUGUAUUAAAUCGCUCAAUUCUACCUUACCCUACCUAAAGAGCUCUCAGGGGUGGUAAGGGGCGAUUUAAAUGGAUAAUUCCAAUUAGGCGCAGAUGGAUCACCUUUGGAGUUUCCCUCACCGUUCGCACUCUAAAGUGAAGCUCGGCGUAAGUGCCUAUGGAGUACGAUCAAGAGUCUUCAUCAAUUCUCAGCCAAGGGCCCGAACAAGGAUGGGCAAAAAGGA